rnacentral:rRNA from 1 species
CUAGUGGCAGACGGGUGAGUAACGCGUGGGAAUCUACCCAGUUCUCUGGAAUAACUGAUGGAAACGUCAGCUAAUACCGGAUACGCCCUUUUGGGGAAAGAUUUAUCGGGAUUGGAUGAGCCCGCGUAAGAUUAGCUAGUUGGUGGGGUAAUGGCCUACCAAGGCGACGAUCUUUAGCUGGUCUGAGAGGAUGAUCAGCCACACUGGGACUGAGACACGGCCCAGACUCCUACGGGAGGCAGCAGUGGGGAAUAUUGGACAAUGGGGGCAACCCUGAUCCAGCCAUGCCGCGUGAGUGAUGAAGGCCU